rnacentral:sRNA from 1 species
UGCAAAUACCUCUCUCUUGCAUUUUCUCUUCUUCUCCAUUAUAUAUUAUAUAACAAUUAAUCUCUAUAACUUUUUUUUUUUAGUAUGUGAAAUUCCUUUGUUCACUUGUCUUUAAAUAUGGUUAUAAAAAAGGGAAUUUAAAAUUAAUAUGUAAAUUACUUUUUAAAUAUACCUUUUAAACAAUUCUUGUAUAUUUUUGCAACAUAGAUCCACAGUUUCCAAUGCAUUUCUCGAAGCAAAAUCAAAAUAAUUUGCAAUUUUGUUGUGAAAUACAUCUUUAUGCUCAAAUGUGCCACUAGCUGCUUUUGUUUAAAUUUUCAUUGCAAGUGUUUCAUUUUGUUCAAAAAUACAUAAAACUGAAAGCUAUGAAUACCAAGUGAAUGCUUCAUGAAGUUAUCAUACUUUUGUGUAUAUAAAAAUCACUGCAUGGUGAAAAUACACAACUCAUUAGAGCCCUAUUUGAACAUCAUAUGUAGAACUGUGAUUUAAAAAGUUUUCCUGUACUUCAGUACACACAAAACGUUCGCAUGUUGUUUGAUAGAAAGUCAAAGACCAUAAUGCAUGGUCAAUUCCAUUAAUAAUUACUUGCAUACAAAUGUACAUUUUUAUUGGUUUACUGACAUUUUUUGGAUGUGUUAAAUAAAUGGAAACUGUGUAGGG